rnacentral:rRNA from 1 species
AUUGAACGCUGGCGGAAUGCUUUACACAUGCAAGUCGAGCGGCAGCGCGGCCUUCGGGCUGGCGGCGAGCGGCGAACGGGUGAGUAAUGCAUCGGAACAUGCCCAGUCGUGGGGGAUAACACUUCGAAAGAAGUGCUAAUACCGCAUACGUCCUGAGGGGGAAAGCGGGGGAUCGCAAGACCUCGCGCGAUUGGAGUGGCCGAUGUCAGAUUAGCUAGUUGGUGGGGUAAAGGCCUACCAAGGCGACGAUCUGUAGCUGGUCUGAGAGGAUGAUCAGCCACACUGGGACUGAGACACGGCCCAGACUCCCACGGGAGGCAGCAGUGGGGAAUUUUGGACAAUGGGGGCAACCCUGAUCCAGCCAUUCCGCGUGAGUGAAGAAGGCCUUCGGGUUGUAAAGCUCUUUCGGCAGGAACGAAACGGUGGGCUCUAACAUAGUCCGCUAAUGACGGUACCUGAAGAAGAAGCACCGGCUAACUACGUG